rnacentral:tRNA from 1 species
GGAGCAGUAGCUCAAUGGGAGAGCACAUGGCUGAAGACCAUGGGGUUCGGGGUUCGAUCCCCCGCUGCUCCA